rnacentral:rRNA from 1 species
AUGCUCGUGGAGUGGAAGGAGAAGUGUUUGUCUUUUGUAGGGAAGGAGUUCCUAUUGAAAUCUAUUGCACUAGCUAUACCAACUUACACGAUAUUAGUCUACAAAAUUCCUAAUAAAAUUUGCAAAGGAAUCACGGAUGCAAUAUCAAGUUUUUGGUGGCGUGAUGAUGCUACACAGAAGAAGAUGCACUGGUUCGCGUGGUGGAAGAUGUGUAUACCUAAGAAGAAAGGGGGCAUGUGAUUAAGAGAUAUCAUUGCUUUAAUAUGUGUUACUAGAAAAUAUGCAUGGUGGAUGAUUGACAAUCCUGAUUCAUUAUGUGUUGUCAUUCUUAAAGAAAAGAACUUACUCAAUGGAGAUCUCGUGAAUGCUACAUUGAAGAAGAAAGCAUCAAACACGUGGCAAAGCAUAAUGGUAGGAGUUGAUACUUUGAGGAAAGGUUAUAUGUGGAGAAUUGGUGAUGGUUUAAUGUUAAUAUUUGGGAUGAUCCAUGGAUACCUCAGUCACCAUCGAGGAAAAUCUUAA